GGAAGGAUCAUUAACACUACACCUUUUUUUCCGGAUGCCUAAAAAACAUCCGGAAAAAAUACACACCUGUGAACCUGUCCCGUCCCCGACUCCUGUUGAUGUGUGGGCCCUCUCGAGGGCAUUCUACAUCACUCGCUCAUUUUGUGAUGAAGAGCGGUUAGGAGACCUGUGACGCUGAUAUUAUCCUCAUCACUGCCCCCCUCCCUUUUUUAACAACUCCUUUACCUUUGAUCUAAAUCAAUCGGUUCCUGGUCCCACCUCGGUGUGUCUAGUUUGAGCCGUUAUGAGUAAUAACAAUACAACUGUUAACAAUGGAUAUCUUGGCUCUUGCAACGAUGAAGAACGCAGCGAACUGCGAUACGUAAUGUGAAUUGCAGAACUCCGUGAAUCAUCAAAUCUUUGAACGCAAGUUGCACUCCUGGGGUUAAACCUGGGAGUAUGCCUGUUUGAGUGUUAUCAACUAAUCUCAUCCUCACCCCACACCUUGUGUGUGGUCCUGUGCAGUGGUGGAGAGUGAGAGUCUGGGUGUUCGCAUCCAGUCUCUUAAAAAAUAUUGACGGGCAGACCUCUGUGGAUGAUGACACUUGACUCUCUCCUCUGACGUGGUAGUUCUACUUAACUGUCUAAUACUUCGUUUCAUUGGUGAGCCGUAAAAAUCAUCGCUAACUCUACAGAGCUGACCGUUGUCUCAGACUAACCUAAAAAAACAUCGUUUUUUUUUCUUAGCAUAACCUCAAAUCAGGUAAGACUACCCGCUGAAUUUAAGCAUAUUAAUAAGCGGAGGAAAAGAAACUAACUAGGAUUCCCCCAGUAAUGGCGAAUGAAGAGGGAAGAGCUCAAGCCUAAAUCGGGAAGCUUCGUUUUCCGAAUUGUAGUCUAUGGAUCCGGAUUCUGACAGGGCCCAGGUGGAAAUCUCUUUGGAACAAGGUAUCAUAGAGGGUGAGAAUCCCGUAUGUAUCUUGGUGCACCCUGUCUGUACGGUCUGAGGUCCGCGAGUCGAGCUGUUUGGGAUUGCAGUUCUAAACGGGUGGUAAAUUCCAUCUAAAGCUAAAUAGCGGCAAGAGACCGAUAGCGAACAAGUAGCGUGAGCGAAAGAUGAAAAGAACUUUGAAAAGAGAGUUAAAAAGUACUUGAAAUUGUUAACAGGUAAACGAUUGUAAUCAGUGUUCACGGUUUGAGUGGUGCUUGGGGUUGCUGAAUGGGCCCUGUUGGAUAGCGUAAGCGUCCAGCUAGGUCUAGAGAGGCAGCACUGGGGUCACGCCACAGGACUGUGGGUCAACAUCAGUUUCAUACUACUCGGCAAAAAACUGCGCGGAAGGUAGCUCUGAGGGUUUUCGGGCUCUUGGAGUGUUAAGACGUGCAGCGGAUACCGGUAGUGAGACUGAGGACUCGGAAGUUCACGUCGAAAGACUGGGUUAGCCUCGUCCCUGCGCGGUCAUUGGGAGCUUACAGAAAUCUGUGAGAGCCUGCGGCUGUGUACAGAUGGGUGCGCUGCAAGUGAACUAAAGAUGUUGACAAAAUGGUUAUAACCGACCCGUCUUGAAACACGGACCAAGGAGUCUAACGUAUGUGCGAGUGUUAGGGUGGUAAACCCAUAACGCGUAAUGAAAGUAAAGGUAACCUCCGGGUUGCUGACGUCGGAAGGUGUCGAAAGGCACCUGCACGAUGGGCCGACCAUGAUCUUCGCGAGAAAGGUUUGAGCAAGAGCACAUCCGUCGGGACCCGAAAGAUGGUGAACUAUGCCUGAGUAGAGUGAGGCCAGAGGAAACUCUGGUGGAGGCUCGUAGCGGUACUGACGUGCAAAUCGUUCGUCAAACUUGGGUAUAGGGGCGAAAGACUAAUCGAACCAUCUAGUAGCUGGUUCCCUC
rnacentral:misc_RNA from 1 species